UUAAAGAAAGCAAGAUGCAGAAUAGUGUUUAGAGUAUAUGCUAUCAUUUACUUUAAAAUUGGCAUACACCUAAACGCCGGUGUUACAUGCAUUGAAUUGUCAACCCCAAAUUCAUACGGUGAAUUCCUAACCCCCAGGACCGCCAAAUGCAACCAUACAUGGAAGAUAAGGCCUUUACAGAGGUAAUUAAGUUAAAAUAAGGCCAGGCAAUUGGGCCCCAAUUAAAUACCACUGCUGUCCCUGUAAAAAGGGGGAAAUUUGGACACAGACACGCACACAGAGAGGACACCACAUGAACGCAGAGGCUGGGGUGACUCAUCUACCAGCCAAGGAAUGUCAAAGAUCGCCAGCGAGACCCCAGAAGCCAGAAGUGAGGCCUGGACAAGCCCUCUCUCAGUCUUCAGAAGGAACCAACCCCCUCCACACCCUGACCCUGGAGUUCUAGCCUGCAGCAGCCCCAGUAAACUGAUACAGCCUCUGCGCGAGAGGGGGCGCGUGUGCCUAUACAUACACCUACACACAACGGACAAACACACACACACAAAUGCCCAUGCUAUGGGUUGCCUCUAGGGAGGGGAACUGGGGUGGGGGGAAAGAAAAUUUCACAUUGCUUUUGUACCUUUUGAAUUUUGGACUCAGUGUGUAGACAUAUUACCUUCCAAAGUCCCCCAAGUUUCCCUUAACCCUGCCAGUAAAUCAUUUUAUAUACAUAUAUAUAUGUAUAUAUCUCCAAAUAAAAGUAGCCUUCAGGAGACACUUCUCUUCACCCAGAAAAUAGCCAAACUUUCCCAAUCUAACCUUGGGGUUUCAAUAUGCUUUAAGCUCUGGUGCCAAGUCUGACCAGUUGGGAGGGGCUGCUUGCAGGAGCGCUGCCUUGACAGGGAGGCCGAGGCCUCCACUGAGCUCGGUGGAGGAGAGCUUAUCCGUCAAUUAGAAGGUCUGCAGGGUGCAGGGAGCUACACCCAUCUGCCAGCCCUGCCCCCCCCCGGGACUGGCUCAGCGUGGGAAUUUCAGGUUGGUUCGGGGUGUGGACGGUGGUAGGCAGCUGACACCCACCUCCAAGUAAUGAGGAGCCCUGACAUUCUGGAGAGCUGCUGCAGUGCAUGGGUCAGACAGGUGGCUCUGAAACAUGUGACACGAUGACUCAGCUCACGCCUGAAUCCGGGCCAGCUGUGUGUGAAGAAAUCCUCUUCCUUUCUAGAGUAAAUGGGCAGAUGGAUAGUCACUGGAUGAGUCACGAAGCCCGAGGCCCCAAAUGGUUGUGCAGAUGGAGAAAAAUGAGGUCCCGUGCAGGAGGCGCCCGUCUCCUCGGACUGUGGCUCUGACCCCUGCGUGUGCGGCAUCUGCCAGAACGCACGCAUUCCAAGAGGCAGACCGCGCCCCCGGGUGGGGGUGGCGCAGAGACUUGGCGUGCCCGUGGGUACUGCCUGGACCUUGGCCACCUCCCAAAGCAGAAAUGAUCAGAGACCUGGAAGGAAACUCAACAUGGAAGAAAUGACAACCAAGGCUGUGAAGCGAAUGCCAGGGUCAGCCUAACCCUAUCUCUAAAUAUCGCGGCAGCACGGCCGAGCGUGGAAGCCCACGCCUCGGGUGACAGCAUUUCGUGCUGGCGACAGGAUUAUUCUGCUCCAUGGGUCCAUCCUCUCUCUGAGGGAUAGUAGCUAAAGCCUUUGAACAAGAUCCGCUCUUUCUGAUCCCGUAGAAAGUAAAUUUUGCCAGCCAGCAAAUCUAGAAUACGUAUUUUUAUGGCAAAAGCCACCCCCUCAGAGAUCUGCUGAGAAGGCAGGAGAUGAGGAAGACAGGCAAAGAAGACAAGUUCACCUGAAAGAAGGUUGAGAUAAAGGUGAAUCUGGAGCCUUGAACUCUACCUUCCGUAGACUCAACAUUCCGAUACUUUGCAAGAUUAUAAAGCUACAGCCAAAGGGUGAUGCUUCUCGUGCACAGAGGCGCUCUGUGGUUCCACAGGUCGGUUUUCCACAUCCUCUUCGGAGAAGGGCCAUGUCCAGCGCUGGGAGGAGAGAAGUCAACAGGGCAGAACCCUUGUCGUGAAGAGCAUGCAGUGUGAGCAAAGGAACAGCCGGCCACAGAGAAGACCCACACGUUUUACUAACAAAGUCACGGAACACGUGCUCCAGGAGCAGAGCACAGGGAGACAGGAAGGCUUCCUUUCCAGAGAAGGUGACUUCUGAGCUGCGUCUGAAGGGCACAUGACAUAGCAUCGGUCAAGCCCACAGACCUUCACCUUGUGCAGGAUGAACUUCAUAAAGCCUUCCUUUCCUAUGAGACCACACAUGGACCCCAACCCUUGGACCAGAGAUGCCAAGAGGAACUCAAACGAAGUCAGUCCCAGAAGGCAGGAAUUCCAUGGAAGACAUGAUGAGUUCCUCUCACUGCCUCCUAGAAGAGACGUGCGGUCAUUUAGUCCCAGUAAAAGGUGGUGCCUGUGAGUUUUCUCCACUGUAAUGUCAUUAUUUUACCCUCUGAGAUCAAUGGGUCGCUUGUGAGGAGGUACUUUGAGACUCUGCAAAUAUCCUAUGAUGAAUCAUUCAUCGAUGAUUCUUGACUGACUCAAAUAUUACUACGGCUGCCAAACAGUGGCAUUCUACGUCAUUCCUCCUACAAUCACAAGCUGACUUUCAACAGUAGGGAGGAGUUUGCUUGUCUGCCUUAUUUAUUUAUACUGGCAUGGACUCAUGAAUCCUCACUCCAUUCAGUUUGUUAUAAUUCUUCACUACCAUCUUUUAUUUAGACACUCAAAUUGUCCCAGAAGUGUGCCAGGUACUUUAUGGAAAAUAUUUCCUGUAAUUCUCAAAGCACAUCUUUGAGGGGUAGGGAUUAUUUUGCAAAGAAACUCAAACUCAGAGAGAUGAACAUUCACCACAUCUCAUUGCUGGAGUUUCCAAACUUCUUAUGCCAAGUGCUCGAUAUUUAUGUGCAUCCACCUUGUAUAUAAAUCCCCCCCUCCUGAUGUUUCUGCUGUAUAGGAAUUACCCUCUCGCCUCCUAUUUUUAAGAUGGGAAAAUGAGCUCAGAGAGGUUAAGCAAUGGGUCACAAAAACUAUCAUGAGAAUUCAGAGGCCUAUUUGACAUCACGUGUUGUUUUUCAGCAGCUCACGUUGCUCCUUUAAGAUGUUUUUCCUUUUGCAGAUGGGAUCCUUUUUGCCAUUUAUUUAAUUCUAUUCAGGGAAGAGGAGGUGAAACUGUGGGUUUUUUUUUUUUUUAUAAACAGAUAGCCUGUGUUAGCUUUGGCUUCCCUGAUUCUAAUCAGCACCUAGGCUAGGAAGUUGGGGUGACUUUGAUCUUGCUGGAAUCCUUGGUGUUCUUGGGAGCUCAUGUAGUUGACUGACUAAAAAAUUUAAUCUCUCGCGGUGAAUGUGUUCUUCCUAGUUUUUAAGGAAGAUUUUGGGGAAGUCUUUCAUCCUGUAGUCAUUCUCGAAUUUGUUGUCCACGUAAAUAUGGAUUUUUCCAUUAUUAUGUUUGUGUUAAUCACAGCACAGUGAAGAAAUUUCUCAUUCAUGAAUCACUGGCCAAGGAACGUUGCUCAUAGCUCCAUAAAAACAACGCAGACAUCUUUGAUACUUAGUUAAAAAGCAUCACUCACGCCUAGCUUUGACCCCAGGUGACCUGAAAAUGAGGUUUGAGGACCACUGGACUUCUAAUCACCCCGGAUGCCACUACAAAUGCAGAGUCUGGGGUCUUGUCCCGCACUCACCAAAUCAGAAUUCUUCAGUUUUAACAAGCUUCCCAGAGACCCCUGAAGCUCACUAAAGUGGACGUGCAUGCUGGUGCCUCUGACCAAGCUUCUUCCUAAGGGCUCACAGUGAUGAUGGCUUUGUACCCACAACGUCAGCCUUUGGGAUCCUUGACCUCUGCCCUGCCUCCUGCCCGCAGCAGGUCGUCACGGGUCAUCUGUGGUCCCACUGCCUCUGGGGGGUGAGCCUGCAGGCAGCAUCAUUCUCCAGGUUUUCCCAGGACAGGAUCUGAGCACAGUGUUUGACAGCCCUGAGCAAAGAUCUCAAAAGCACCAUCUUUCCGGGGAGGGGAGCCAAACCCCUCUUCUAGGCUCUGGUUAAAACCAGUGCAAAUUAAAAUACAAAAAACAAAAAUAAAAAAACCAGCUGUUGAUUCACAAAGCAGAGUCCUGCCUGCAUUUAGGAAAGGUUACUUUAUCCCCAAACCAGGAUCACUGCCAAGUGACUGACUUACCUGCACGUGGGGUACUUGUAGCUUCUCUCCAGCUCUGCCUCACCCCACCCCCACCCUCAGCCUUUCAUGGAGGCUGAAACCAGUCUAGACUGUAAAUGGAGCCACGUGCAGAUGGUACCUGUCACAGUAGCUCCCAAGGCAAAUGAGCAGUGGUCGUGACAUGCAGGUAAAGGCUUAAGGGCCAGCUCUUUGGGGGAGGGGCUGGUUUGUACAUUUGGUGAUUUCCGUGAAGGAUAUACUCCCAUCCUGGCCAACGUUAAGCUACCGCCUCUCAAGACGUCUGCCGAUGUCACGAUGGGCUCCUGUGAGCUGGGAUGAAUUGGCUCCAGCACAGGACAAUCCCAAGACAAAGAGACUGAUUGGCUUUAACUGGGUUUGUGCAGGGAGGGGUGACCGAGGCCCACAGCUAGCUCUGCAGUAAAGAGGGAGGACUGGGGAGCACUGGCUAGUCAGCCUAGACUUCGGGGGAGAGCAAAUCCCUGUUCUGGCUCUUGUUAUUUCCACCUCUCUCCUGAGCAGCUGAGAACAGCCAUGUGGCAGAGGGCGUGUGAUUUUUCAUGGACUUCAGGGGCACUCAUCUUCGCCUUUAAUGGAAAACCAUCCCAGCUUAUACCAAUGGGAAGAGCUAAUACCCAUAGCUCUGUGCAUCUCUGGUGGGCAGAGGAAGUAGACGGGAGCCGUUUCUAUGUGCAUCUCUCUGCCACACCACUGCUGAAUAUGUGUUUUAAGAGCAACGGGUACUGUGAGCAAUAAUCAGAGAUGAAGUGGAAUUCAAGAGCCCGACUCAUGCCAGUUUCUAAACUCAUCCUUCCUAAGUGUGGCUGGAAAGGGAGGCGGGGCCAAUAGGCACACACCCUCCUCUCUCCCGGUGAGAGGAAACCUCACAAUGGGUUCCCUAGACCAAGAGCUCCAGAUGGAGUGAAAGCCCAGAGGUGGCAAAUUCUGUGUCACUGUGUGACCCUGGGCCUCUCAUUGAGCUGCCAGAAGCCCUGGGUUCCCCAUGGCGCUGGGGACCCAGCACGGUUCUCAGGAGCGCUCUUCUGGUUGCAAGGAACAGACACUACUCGGACUGGCCCAAGGCAACGCUGUGUUAGCUGUGGGGAUGAAGGGAUCCUAGAGCAGAGCAUUGCAUCCAUCCAGGAGAACAGAGGCCGUUCAGGACUGAGGCGGUCCUUCGGUUUUCUUUCUUUCUCUGGUUCCAUUUGGUCUUUCAUCUCCUCUCCAAUCUCCUGCCUCUGAAGACAGGCCUCCUUGUGCCUUUAGACUGUACUCAGCCCGACAUGGUCACCCGUCAGCGCUCACCCGCAGGAGUUCUCAUCUCAUGUUCUCGUCUCCAAGAGUGCCUUGGAGGUCAAAUCUACAGGAAUGAAAAUCUGAUUGACCUACGUUGUGUGUUUAAGCCAAGCAGAUGCUGAAUCACAGGGCAGACCCUGUACUCCGACGUCCUUUGGCUGUGGUGUCUGCCCACGUGUGAUCCUCUCGGCCAUGACUGGAGAAGCCGGGGUGAGAAACACAGCACGUGCCGGUGUGUCCUUGAGGAAGCCACGAUGCAGCCCUCAGUGCUUCCCAGAACUGUGGGCUGCACAUGAAUGGCAUGAAACACUGUAACAGACAUCCAGAGAUGACCAGCUUUUUGCAUAGGAUUGAAGAAAUCCAUAUUGCAAUACUAUAUCAUUGAGUUUUGAUAACAAAUUUUAGUUUUUUAUGGGAAGAGAGGUUUUUUUUCUCCCCUUUGCUUCUGGUUAUUUUCUUUUUUUUCAAGUUUUUAAAAAAUUACAGUUGAUUUGCAAUGUUCUGUCAUUUCUAUGACACAGCAAAGUGACCCAGUUAUACAUAUAUAUAUACACACAUUCUAUUUUUGCAUAUUACCUUCUCCUGUUGUAUCACAAGUGAUUGGAUACAGUUCCCUGUGCUGUACAGCAGGACCUCAUUGCUUAUUCAUCCUAAAUGGAAUCGUUUGCAUCUACUAACCCCAAACUCCCAGUUCAUCUCACUCCCUCCCCCUCCCCCUUGGCAACCACAAGUC